GAUGAACGCUAGCUACAGGCUUAACACAUGCAAGUCGAGGGGAAACGGGAAGAUAGCUUGCUAUUUUUGCCGUCGACCGGCGCACGGGUGAGUAACGCGUAUCCAACCUGCCACCUAGUGGAGGAUAGCCUUUCGAAAGAAAGGAUAAUACUCCAUGUACUCCUUUAAGGGCAUCUGCGAAGGAGGAAAGAUUAAUCGCUGGGUGAUGGGGAUGCGUCUGAUUAGGCAGUUGGCGGGGUAACGGCCCACCAAACCGACGAUCAGUAGGGGUUCUGAGAGGAAGGUCCCCCACAUUGGAACUGAGACACGGUCCAAACUCCUACGGGAGGCAGCAGUGAGGAAUAUUGGUCAAUGGACGGAAGUCUGAACCAGCCAAGUAGCGUACAGGAUGACGGCCCUAUGGGUUGUAAACUGCUUUUAUGCGGGGGUAAAGUGAGUGACGUGUCAUUCAUUGCAAGUACCGCAAGAAUAAGGACCGGCUAAUUCCGUGCCAGCAGCCGCGGUAAUACGGAAGGUCCUGGUGUUAUCCGGAUUUAUUGGGUUUAAAGGGAGCGUAGGCCGUCAGGCAAGCGUGUUGUGAAAUGUCGUGGCUCAACCAUGGACUUGCAGCGCGAACUGCCCGACUUGAGUGCGCAGAAAGCAGGCGGAAUUUGUGGUGUAGCGGUGAAAUGCUUAGAUAUCACGAAGAACCCCGAUUGCGAAGGCAGCCUGCUGUAGCGCUACUGACGCUGAAGCUCGAAAGUGCGGGUAUCGAACAGGAUUAGAUACCCUGGUAGUCCGCACGGUAAACGAUGGAUGCCCGCUGUUCGGGUUUACGGACCGAGCGGCUAAGUGAAAACGUUAAGCAUCCCACCUGGGGAGUACGCCGGCAACGGUGAAACUCAAAGGAAUUUGACGGGG
rnacentral:rRNA from 1 species